ensembl:lncRNA
GGUGGAGUCAGAGGGAUGCCAACAAAAACUGAAAAAGUGGUUCCCAGGAAGAUUCAGAAGAGAGGAAGGUCAAGUGUUGCAGAAAAUGUCUCACACAGUGUGAAGUGAAGAAUCUUUUCUGUCCUGCUGCUGCUGACACAUAUCACUGACAUUUUUUUCCCAUUUCUCCACAGAUGUUUUGCUCUGUCCACAAAAGAAGUGAUACAGAUCUCACUCAGUUUGAAUAUCUGAAACCCACUGUGCCCACUGUGAAGUUCAACUGCUUCUAUCUGACAUGAUAGAGGGAGCUCAAGAUCAUGAGUGCUCUUAUCCUGAAAUGAGUCUCAGAGGCUGUGAGACACCUCCUAGAGGGGCUACCGUGUAUUCUGGGAUGGGUCUAAUUCAGCCUAACCACCUCUACUUUGAAAGGACUAAAAUUAGGUCUGGAGCUUAAAUUUUAAAGCAAGCCUUCGGGAACACACUGUGAUGCAGACCAUCAGUAUGAAUAAAAUGUGUUAACAGGGAUAUGCUGAAUUUAGUGAGAUGUUUGGCAAUGUCUGUAUCACAGUGGGGAACUACUUAGUUGUGGCAAUGCGGAGCGGUGGUUUGUUGUUUUUUUUUUUCCUUUUGCUAAGGAAAAGACAGAAUACAAAUGAGGUUGCUGCAGAAUGCCGGCUAGUGGGAUAUAUAUACAACGUGCAGCCCGGCUAUUUUAUUGUUUAAAAAAAUGAUGGCAAUACUAAAACCUUAAACUUCUGACCUAUAAAGAUAGAAUGGUAGAGCAGUUCUUUCUUAGUGUUCUUGUUAUCAUUCUAUAAAUCAGAAGCAUAAACUAAAACAGAAAUGUCCCUAAGCAUUACAGAACCUUGUAUCUAUCAGGUUUCAUAUUCCUCACUGUUGAGAGUGGGUGAGGCAGCUGCCAAGGUUAAUAAUUGCCUCCUAAACUGGCAUCUUCAUACCUCUCUGAAUAGCAUCUUAGGAGAGAGCUCUGCUCUUUGGAUAAACUACUUCUGUUCGUAGUGUCAUGUCCCCCUGGCCUAGCUGACAUUUGCAGCCCUAGAGGAAAGAUUGCUAUGCCUCGUGUGACCCUUGCAGGACUGCUUUAGAUGCGGUGCUUUCCCUAGACUACUGUUACCCCUCAUUCCACCCCCCAUUUUACAGACCAGCAUUAUGCUCAAGGCUGUAGAGAAGGACCCAUCCACCUCUGUGAAAAUGCCUCGCAUUGUUAAUUCUUCCAUUCACUGUGUGCUGUUGCAGGUGUGACUGGCUUUGCUCAGGCACAGGCACUGUCUCCCUGGCCUCAGUUUCUGUGUGGUUACUGAAAGCCGCUUCAGAGGGGCAGCCAUCUCUUUGUCAACACAUGCUCCACAGUUCAUGGUCACACACUGAAUGAGUCCAAGGGAAAAGACAAAGCCACAUGUUGUUAUGUCUAUAUCAGUCUUUCACAGCUGGCUGGGAUGUUUCUUCUGUUGGAUCCAUGAGUAGGGAGGUUGCGUUUCUCCAUAAUUUCCCUGGAGACUGAAUAUAUGCCAUCAGUUGAAGGAAGAAGAGCAGUGACACACCUCUCAACCUGCCUGAUUCUUUCCAGGAUGGGUCUUUCUACCAAGGGCUGAGAACGUGG